rnacentral:lncRNA from 1 species
CACUUUGACUUGAAUCUGCGGCAGUUUGGACCCUACAGACUAAACUACUCUCGAACUGGAAGACACCUGGCUUUUGGAGGGCGCCGAGGUCAUGUGGCUGCCCUUGAUUGGGUAACAAAGAAGCUUAUGUGCGAGAUCAACGUCAUGGAGGCGGUGCGGGACAUCCGGUCAGUGGCCUCACUGUCAGCGGUCAGUUGGGGUGAGAUAGUCCAUUCCUGAUUGAAUGAUAGCCUGUGACCUCAUUUCCCAAUUGAACCACUCUUCCUCUCCCCCAGGUUUCUCCAUUCUGAGGCACUGCUUGCUGUUGCUCAGAACCGCUGGCUCCACAUCUAUGACAAUCAGGGCAUUGAGCUCCACUGUAUCCGCCGCUGUGACCGAGUAACACGGCUUGAGUUCCUGCCCUUCCACUUCCUCCUGGCUACAGCUUCAGAAACAGGGUUUCUAACCUACCUGGAUGUGUCAGUGGGGAAGAUUGUGGCAGCUCUGAAUGCUCGAGCUGGGCGGCUCGAUGUUAUGAGUCAGAACCCUUACAAUGCCGUCAUCCAUCUCGGACACAGCAAUGGUCAGUACCUGGCUUAGUUUUGACUCUGACCAUCCUGACUUGCUUUUCUUCUAUAUUUGUACUUCAUGAGUCCCUUAAAGUUACCCUUUUAUUUCCCUUUUUUGUUAUCUCUUGGUCUUGAGUUCCCAUCUUUCCCAUGUUUAGUAACCUCAGGCUUAGGUGUGUAUUAGCAACUUUGGUUCUUCUUCUCUUCCAGGUACUGUGUCUUUAUGGAGUCCAGCUAUGAAGGAGCCACUGGCAAAGAUUCUCUGUCAUCGUGGUGGGGUCCGGGCUGUGGCAGUAGAUUCUACAGGCACGUACAUGGCCACCUCUGGCCUAGACCACCAGCUGAAGAUCUUUGACUUGCGAGGGACGUACCAGCCUCUGAG